rnacentral:rRNA from 1 species
GCAUAUCAAUAAGCGGAGGAAAAGAAACCAACAGGGAUUGCCUUAGUAGCGGCGAGUGAAGCGGCAAAAGCUCAAAUUUGAAAUCUGGCGCCUUCGGUGUCCGAGUUGUAAUUUGAAGAUUGUAACCUUGGGGUUGGCUCUUGUCUAUGUUUCUUGGAACAGGACGUCACAAAGGGUGAGAAUCCCGUGCGAUGAGAUGCCCAAUUCUAUGUAAGGUGCUUUCGAAGAGUCGAGUUGUUUGGGAAUGCAGCUCUAAGUGGGUGGUAAAUUCCAUCUAAAGCUAAAUAUUGGCGAGAGACCGAUAGCGAACAAGUACAGUGAUGGAAAGAUGAAAAGAACUUUGAAAAGAGAGUGAAAAAGUACGUGAAAUUGUUGAAAGGGAAGGGUUUGAGAUCAGACUCGAUAUUUUGUGAGCCUUGCCUUCGUGGCGGGGUGACCCGCAGCUUAUCGGGCCAGCAUCGGUUUGGGCGGUAGGAUAAUGGCGUAGGAAUGUGACUUUACUUCGGUGAAGUGUUAUAGCCUGCGUUGAUGCUGCCUGCCUAGACCGAGGACUGCGAUUUUAUCAAGGAUGCUGGCAUAAUGAUCCCAAACCGCCCGUCUUGAAACACGGACC